GCCAGGUGUGAUGGCGCACACCUGUGAUCUCAGCUACCUGGGAGGCUGAGGCAGGAGGAUUGCAAAUUCAGGGCCAGCAAGUCGGGACAACUUAGCAAGAGGCUGUCUCAA
rnacentral:sRNA from 1 species